UUCAAGCUGAAGGUGUUGAACCAUGCGAUGCAAGAAUUAUUAUUUUGGGCUCCUAUGGAAGACUCAUGUAAUUGCUGUCAAGAACACUGUCAGUUCAGCGGUUGUCAUCAUGCAAGCAAUUGGCCGCUGAUCUGCUUGCUCUUUGUACUACUAAAGGUGGCAUCAUACGGCGAAGCAGGGGAUAUGGAUCAGAAGCCGCAAUGGUGCGCGUGACGACAUGUCUAACACUUGCCUGACCCUGGACUCUGGCUUCUUCUUGCAAGUAAGCUCAUUU